GACGAACGCUGGCGGCGUGCUUAACACAUGCAAGUCGAGCGGUAAGGCCCUUUCGGGGGUACACGAGCGGCGAACGGGUGAGUAACACGUGGGUGACCUGCCCUCAGCUCUGGGAUAAGCCCGGGAAACUGGGUCUAAUACCGGAUAUGACUCCAUGACGCAUGUUGUGGGGUGAAANCCUUGUGCGGCUGAGGAUGGGCCCGCGGCCUAUCAGCUUGUUGGUGGGGUGAUGGCCUACCAAGGCGACGACGGGUAGCCGGCCUGAGAGGCGACCGGCCACACUGGGACUGAGACACGGCCCAGACUCCUACGGGAGGCAGCAGUGGGGAAUCUUGCGCAAGUGGGACGAAAGCCUGACGCAGCGA
rnacentral:rRNA from 1 species